rnacentral:rRNA from 1 species
UUUUUUCCUCAAAUCAAGUAGGACUACCCGCUGAACUUAAGCAUAUCAAUAAGCGGAGGAAAAGAAACCAACAGGGAUUGCCUCAGUAACGGCGAGUGAAGCGGCAAAAGCUCAAAUUUGAAAUCCCCCCGGGGAGUUGUAAUUUGAAGAUUGCGUCUUGGAGGCGACCGUGUCUAUGUUCCUUGGAACAGGACGUCACAGAGGGUG